rnacentral:antisense_RNA from 1 species
UGUGGGAGCGGGCUUGCUCGCGAAUGCGUCGGCAAAUUCAGAAUUUGUGCUGACUGACACACCGCUUUCGCGAGCAAGCCCGCUCCCACA